GAUGAACGCUGGCGGCGUGCCUAAUACAUGCAAGUCGAGCGAACGGACGAGAAGCUUGCUUCUCUGAUGUUAGCGGCGGACGGGUGAGUAACACGUGGAUAACCUACCUAUAGGACUGGGAUAACUUCGGGAAACCGGAGCUAAUACCGGAUAAUAUUUUGAACCGCAUGGUUCAAAAGUGAAAGACGGUCUUGCUGUCACUUAUAGAUGGAUCCGCGCUGCAUUAGCUAGUUGGUAAGGUAACGGCUUACCAAGGCAACGAUGCAUAGCCGACCUGAGAGGGUGAUCGGCCACACUGGAACUGAGACACGGUCCAGACUCCUACGGGAGGCAGCAGUAGGGAAUCUUCCGCAAUGGGCGAAAGCCUGACGGAGCAACGCCGCGUGAGUGAUGAAGGUCUUCGGAUCGUAAAACUCUGUUAUUAGGGAAGAACAAAUGUGUAAGUAACUAUGCACAUCUUGACGGUACCUAAUCAGAAAGCCACGGCUAACUACGUG
rnacentral:rRNA from 1 species